CAGCCGCCGCGGUAAUACGGAGGGGGCUAGCGUUGUUCGGAAUUACUGGGCGUAAAGCGCACGUAGGCGGCUUGGUAAGUUAGAGGUGAAAGCCCGGAGCUCAACUCCGGAAUUGCCUUUAAGACUGCCGAGCUAGUAGGUGAGAGAGGUAAGUGGAAUUCCGAGUGUAGAGGUGAAAUUCGUAGAUAUUCGGAAGAACACCAGUGGCGAAGGCGGCCAUCUGGGACAACACUGACGCUGAGGCACGAAAGCGUGGGGAGCAAACAGGAUUAGAUACCCCAGUAGUCCCUGUCUCUUUACA
rnacentral:rRNA from 1 species